GACGAACGCUGGCGGCGUGCUUAACACAUGCCAGUCGAACGGAAAGGCCCUGCUUUUGUGGGGUGCUCGAGUGGCGAACGGGUGAGUAACACGUGAGUAACCUGCCCUUGACUUUGGGAUAACUUCAGGAAACUGGGGCUAAUACCGGAUAGGAGCUCCUGCUGCAUGGUGGGGGUUGGAAAGUUUCGGCGGUUGGGGAUGGACUCGCGGCUUAUCAGCUUGUUGGUGGGGUAGUGGCUUACCAAGGCUUUGACGGGUAGCCGGCCUGAGGGGGUGACCGGCCACAUUGGGACUGAGAUACGGCCCAGACUCCUACGGGAGGCAGCAGUGGGGAAUAUUGCACAAUGGGCGGAAGCCUGAUGCAGCAACGCCGCGUGCGGGAUGACGGCCUUCGGGUUGUAAACCGCUUUCGCCUGUGACGAAGCGUGAGUGACGGUAAUGGGUAAAGAAGCACCGGCUAACUACGUG
rnacentral:rRNA from 1 species